rnacentral:misc_RNA from 1 species
AAAAAAAAAAAAAAAAAAAAAGUCGCAAAGCUAAAGAUAUCUUUAACGGAAUAAAUAAAGAGACCUCGAGAUACCCAUGCGGACUUCAUAUUCUAUUCAAUAAAGUAUUUUAUUAGCUGCCAUUGCCAAACCCUCUUGAGGAGCUCAAACUCAAUUCAUGGCCAUGGCCAUCUCGAGAUCCACAAGACGACAUGGGGAAGUUCAUAUCAUAGUAAAACCAAAAUUUUAUUUUUAGAUUAAAAAAAAAAUAAUCCUUUUAUCUUAUUCAUGAUGCUCAUCCAAUUUUUAUAUUAUGGUAAUUAUUGGGUGCAUUAAUUAUCAUCAAGAAAUCAUUGGCUAACCUGUUUGGAAGAGUAUAAAACACUACAAAAGCCAAAUUAACUAACAAAUAUAUGUUCAGUAAAAUGAUAUGCAUAUUCCAAUGUCAAUAGUUGAGCAAAAUUUACCAUUAAAUGGCAUGCCUUCCCCUCAGUGAAUUUUAUUCAUCUUUCAGCCAAAAAUUAUAUACGUUUUGAAAUUCAUGAUGGGAUGCCAUGUACAAAUUCACAAAGCAUAUCUCUUCAACUAGAAAAAUCACUUUAUCUAGCGAAUUUUACCUUAUACUGUAUUUCUCACAUUUUUACCAUGGACCCUCAUCAGGGUAAUCAAACGGCGUCUCCACCACCGUUUUGGAAUCCAGCAAAUCCGGGUGUACAAACCCAUAUUUCCUCAGCACUUGGUUAUCUGCAAAAUUCAAGGCUCUCACCAUCCCUUUCCAGCAACUGUCUCCCUCGUACAUCUUGUUGUGAUCCCCACUGCAUGGCUGGCACCCCGUGAAAUGAGUUAUAAACGGCCUUCUCCAGCUCCCUUUCCCGUUACCCGCCCCCUUCAAGUGCGGCUCCCUAAACGCACCGUAUUGCUCGCUCACUUUCUCAGCGUGUCUCCUCCUUAAUUUCCCAUCCCCCCUCUCGAUUGCUGUGUACAUCUCGGUGAUGUUAUCGUAUGUCGGGACUAUCUCUAACCAAUACCCCUCGAAGUAGUACUCCCCUUCUAGAUAAAUCUUGUCCAUUAAUCUCUUAUCUUUGUACAGCAGGUAAAUCAGAGCUGACUGAUCGUCUGAUGCCGGGAAGAGCUUGUCUUUGAAUAACGACCGUUGAAUCUGACCCCACUUCUGGAACUCCGGGCUCAUCGGACCCAUUUUGGCCCACGUGUCCAUAAAAUCCAUGGACCAUUGACAGUUCCUGAUCAGGAAAACCCCGGCGUUUAAGGCAGUCCAGCUCUUGGCCUCAUAAAUCAGCUUCGCCCACCCGUGUACCACCAGGUUGUGGUUCUUGUAAUCAUAACGGCGUAACGGGAGUUUGUAUUCCAUGUCGGUGAACAUCGCGUCUGAGUCCACCCACCAGAUCCACUCUGCCUCCGGAUGAGCCAGCAUCGCCGCCUUCACCGUCGGCAGUUUCGCCCAGAAACUGUUCAUUUUAGGGUGGAGCAGCACGUUGUUGUAGAAGAUAUCGUAACCGUGGAUUCUGCAAUAGUCCACUUUAUUCUUGAAGAAUCUUAAAAGAAAAUGGUCGCCGAUUGGGUUCUUACACGGCCCCGACUGCGAUCCAGUCAGCAUCACCACUCGAUCGCGAGCGCCAGGGGCGAACGAAGGGUGAAGCUUCAGCCACUCCUUUCUCUUCUCAUCCCAGUCUUUCACAGGCUGCUCGAUGGAAUAUCUCAGCUCCGGAUCAUCGUAGAAUGUUCUAUCAGGCGGGUCAUACCGGAGGUUAACCGCCGGGUUUUCCUUUACGCAACUUCGUGAAUCGGAACCAACCUUGAUCUUUAAAUCAGUGACAUUAGGCUCAAAAUUACCGGCAUAAGACCAAAGAGACCAAAUGAGCAAAAAAGCAAGCAAAGCACCACCAAGAUAGAGAAAGACAUCACUGAAACAGGAAGAAGCUUUAUUUCUAAUAGGCGAUUUCGCCAUUGGAGAGGAGUUGAGCUUGGAAAGCUCAGGAGCGACCAUUUGAAGGAAACAAAAGAGGUAAGAGAGAUGCGUAAUUAGUUAAAAAUUAACCAUGGAGAGAGUCGUUUGCUGAAAUUAGAAAAGGCAGAGAAACUAAAUGUAAAUCCAAAGGCGGCAAUCGAAACGAAUUUGGUGUUUUAUUAAAUAGUAACAGAAGAGAGUGUUGUCGUUUAAAACGAGAUAAGCCAUGAACUGCGGAAGAGUGGGGCCUGGCCUCUACGUAGAUUUGUUUUUAAGUGUCGAUUUUGGAGAUUGACACGUUGACUAUUACACGUGUGAGAUGACCGACACUGUGUUAGAUUUACUUAUAACUCCUCCCUUCAUAAUCUCCGUCAUUUGCGUUAAUUUUGUCUGUUAAUUUCCUUGUAUUCCUCAGGACUCGGCCUCAGUUGAGAUAAAUGGUUAAGUGG